rnacentral:rRNA from 1 species
UGCUUAACACAUGCAAGUCGAACGCGAAAGUCUUCGGACGAGUAGAGUGGCGCACGGGUGAGUAACACGUAGGUAAUCUACCCUCGAGAUUGGGACAACCGCCCGAAAGGGUGGCUAAUUCCGGAUAAGACCACAGGGACUUCGGUCCAAGGGGCCAAAGGGUGGCCAAUCCAUGGAAGCUAUCGCUUGAGGAUGAGCCUGCGGCCCAUUAGCUAGUUGGUGAGGUAACGGCUUACCAAGGCGAAGAUGGGUAGCUGGUCUGAGAGGACGAUCAGCCACACUGGAACUGAAACACGGUCCAGACUCCUACGGGAGGCAGCAGUGGGGAAUUUUGCGCAAUGGGCGCAAGCCUGACGCAGCGACGCCGCGUGAAGGAUGAAGGCCUUUGGGUCGUAAACUUCUGUUAGUGGGGAAUAAAAUGCGGGUGAUUAAUACGCACUCGAACUGACGGUACCCACUGAGUAAGCACCGGCUAACUACGUGCCAGCAGCCGCGGUAAUACGUAGGGUGCGAGCGUUGUUCGGAAUCAUUGGGCGUAAAGCGUGCGUAGGCGGAUUGGAAAGUCGGAUGUGAAAUCCCACGGCUUAACUGUGGAAUUGCGUUCGAAACUAUCAAUCUGGAGGACGGUAGAGGUAGGUGGAAUUCCUGGUGUAGAGGUGAAAUUCGUAGAUAUCAGGAGGAACACUCGUGGCGAAGGCGGCCUACUGGGCCGUUCCUGACGCUGAGGCACGAAAGCAUGGGGAUCAAACAGGAUUAGAUACCCUGGUAGUCCAUGCCGUAAACGAUGAGUACUAGGUGUGGGAGGUUUUGACCCCUUCCGUACCGGCGCCAACGCAAUAAGUACUCCGCCUGGGAAGUACGGUCGCAAGAUUAAAACUCAAAGAAAUUGACGGGGGCCCGCACAAGCGGUGGAGCAUGUGGUUUAAUUCGAAGCAACGCGAAGAACCUUACCUGGGCUUGACAUCCCCGGAAGACUGCAGAGAUGUAGUCGCCCUUCGGGGCCGGGAGACAGGUGCUGCAUGGCUGUCGUCAGCUCGUGUCGUGAGAUGUUGGGUUAAGUCCCGCAACGAGCGCAACCCUUGUCCUUAGUUGCCAGCUUUCGGUAGGGCACUCUAAGGAGACUGCCGACGUCAAGUCGGAGGAAGGUGGGGAUGACGUCAAGUCCUCAUGGCCCUUAUGUCCAGGGCUACACACGUGCUACAAUGGCCGGUACAAAGGGCUGCAAAGUCGUGAGACCAAGCCAAUCCCAAAAAACCGGUCUUAGUUCGGAUUGAAGUCUGCAAUUCGACUUCAUGAAGCUGGAAUCGCUAGUAAUCGCGGAUCAGAACGCCGCGGUGAAUACGUUCCCGGGCCUUGCACACACCGCCCGUCAC